UACGUAGGGGGCAAGCGUUGUCCGGAAUCAUUGGGCGUAAAGAGCGUGUAGGCGGCCCGAUAAGUCCGCUGUGAAAGUCCAGGGCUCAACCCUGGAAUGCCGGUGGAUACUGUCGGGCUCGAAUCCGGAAGAGGUGAGUGGAAUUCCUGGUGUAGCGGUGAAAUGCGCAGAUAUCAGGAGGAACACCAAUGGCGAAGGCAGCUCACUGGGACGGUAUUGACGCUGAGACGCGAAAGCUAGGGGAGCAAACGGG
rnacentral:rRNA from 1 species